AUCUACUUUGCUCUAAUAGCUUAUUCCGACUGGGAACCUAGAUAUGGAAAGAUUUAAAAAUAACUACUCUCCAGCUAGAAGAAUUAGGCAAUUUACUAUUUAAAACCUAAGUUACCAGUAUUAAGGGGCAGAAAAGGUGCCAGCAGUCGCGGUCAUACCUAUUUCUUAAUGGAAGAAAGGAUAGAUGAGUGAAAGUUUUAAGGUGAAUUAAGCUAGGUUUUUUGGUGAAAUCAGAAUCUGUUUAAGCAUUUUUACUCCUUUUUUACACUCCAGUAGGAGACAAGGAUUAGAUACCCUUUUAUCCGGAGCAAAAUAGUCUUGUCUAGGCAGUAACUUUUAAAGCGAAACCUAAAGAGCAUGGCGGUCAUUAGUGCUCUCAGGGGAACCUGCCCAAUAAACGAUAACCCACGAGAGGAAAUCCUUCUCUUAAAACUCUGCAUACCGUCGUCUUUAGGACCCCCCUGAGGGAGGUCCUAAUUCUAUGGCAGAAUGAAGUCAGGUCAAGGCGCAGGCUAUGGUGAAGAUGAGGUGGGUUACAGUGCUAUUUUAGUCUUCGGAUCUUUCUUUUAAAUAGGAUAAGUGAAGUUGGAUUUGAUAGUAAGAAGGAAAUUUUAAAAUACUUUCUGAAAUUAUUCUAAUGGUGUACAAAUCGCCCGUCACUCUCGUUGAAAAAUGAGAUAAGUCGUAACAUAGUAGAUGUAGCGGAAGCUGCCUCU
rnacentral:ncRNA from 1 species